rnacentral:antisense_RNA from 1 species
UGUGGGAGCGGGCUUGCUCGCGAAUGGGGCUGCCAGUCGACAUUUAUGUGUCUGGUCUACCGCAUUCGCGAGCAAGCCCGCUCCCACA